AAAGUGGAAACUUUAGAUAUCUUAAAUAUAAUUAUUUAUAGUAGAAAUUACAUCACUUUUCCCAUUUAUGUGUAGUGGGAUUUUACUUUCGGAUAUCUAAAAUAACUUUCUUCCUAUCUAAAAUAAACUUUCUGGAUGUCUGAAAACUAAUCCUGGAUCUCCAUAAUCCAUUUUUUACCGGUCAUAGUUUUUAUUUCAGAUAUCAAAAAUCAAUGAUCAAAAGUUUUGAAACCAAUAUGUAAGACAUCCAACUUUGUAAAUUCCGCUUUCUGUCCGUCAAUUUGCGUUGGUAGUAAUUGACAGAAUUGCAAGAAAAGGGCAUGAAACUGAGCGAGCCCUUAGCCAGGGAAUGUGUAGCGACAGAGAGCGACGUUCAAUAGAAAGUUGUGUAAGAAACCUUCACAGAAUUGAACAUUUAUUGUCUACAGAAACCUACAAUGAACAGUAAAGCAGUUUGACUGAGGUUGGAGUGCUAGCAAUAGCUCAUUUCCAUCGAACCGAGGAUCGUCGUUUCUUCAUAAGGCGGGUUAGUUCAGGGCGGAGUGGCAGACCAUCUAUUGUUACCAGAGAGCACAUAGACGUCCUUAUGAAGCAAGGACAUACAAUCAAAAAAAAGGCAAAAAUGAUGGGAUGUUCCUCGUCGUUUUUGAACAACAAAUCAAAGCUGGUGGACUUACACAUAAGAGGAAGACUGUCUGCCUUAGAUGACAAUCAGCUGCAAGAGCGUGUGAGCACAUUGCAGGACCAGUAUCCAAACUCUGGGAAUGAGAUGAUGAGGGUGCUGCUUCGUGCUCAAGAUGUGAUUGUCACACGGGCCAGGGUACGCUAAAUGUUGGGAAGGACAAACCUGACAUCUGCUGCAAGAAGGUGGAGUCGGACUGUUGCAAGGUGGGCUUACCAUAUGCCGUACCCCAA